rnacentral:rRNA from 1 species
GAUGAACACUGGCGGCGUGCCUAAUACAUGCAAGUCGAGCGAAUGGAUUAAGAGCUUGCUCUUAUGAAGUUAGCGGCGGACGGGUGAGUAACACGUGGGUAACCUGCCCAUAAGACUGGGAUAACUCCGGGAAACCGGGGCUAAUACCGGAUAACAUUUUGAACCGCAUGGUUCGAAAUUGAAAGGCGGCUUCGGCUGUCACUUAUGGAUGGACCCGCGUCGCAUUAGCUAGUUGGUGAGGUAACGGCUCACCAAGGCAACGAUGCGUAGCCGACCUGAGAGGGUGAUCGGCCACACUGGGACUGAGACACGGCCCAGACUCCUACGGGAGGCAGCAGUAGGGAAUCUUCCGCAAUGGACGAAAGUCUGACGGAGCAACGCCGCGUGAGUGAUGAAGGCUUUCGGGUCGUAAAACUCUGUUGUUAGGGAAGAACAAGUGCUGGUUGAAUAAGCUGGCACCUUGACGGUACCUAGCCAGAAAGCCACGGCUAACUACGUGCCAGCAGCCGCAGUAA